UGCAAUUGAUCUGCGUUCAGCAUUCGGGUGCGAACACUUCCGGAAACCAGUCCACUGUGUCCUUCGUAUGGAUUUGCGGUGGAGCAAACAAUUCUCUCCGUUUCUGUUUUCUUCCCGGUUUCCUGUCGAACUAAUUUCUCUCGGUGCGGAUACUUUAUUCUAAAUAUACCGAAUGGUUCAUAAGGGUUCGAUUGAAAAGCACUGCGGUUUCAGCAUUUGGUUGAAAUUGAUCGUGGAGUCUGGUUUAUGUAAUAAGUAUUGAUUUUCGAUCGAAACAUCCCGUGCGAGCAAGUCCGCGUUAGUUCGAAAGUUCACGUCUUUGGAUCCGAAUAACGGUUUCGGACGAUCAAACUCCGUGCAAUCCGUGAAAACAACCGUGGUCAGUUAAGUGUGUGAGAGCGCGUUGCGGUGCGUGCUCGGGGAAGUGGUUGAUCAGUCCAGGAAGACGAAAUUAUCUUUUUCCAUCCGACUGUCAGUAUUGAUCGUACUUUUCACUGGAAAACAUCUCCCAGCUCUGAGUCGGGAAGCACCAGCAUCAGCUAAUCUGUUUUGUUUGUUCACUGUAAGCACCGUGAAGUGACACUUUGUUCAGGAUGAGUGAAACUAAGAACCUGAUGACGACAUUCUCGAUCCUGAUCGUCCUGCUGCUACUGCUCUACGUCAUAUACGAGGUGUUCUACUAAGCGCAAUCCUCGACACAAUGGGAGAAAGUGAGAGUGAGUGGGACAUUGAGAGCAAGGUUAUCGAGCGAGUACAGGAAAUGACGCAAAGAACUCACCGCACCUGCUUCGGCACAGUUUGGAGACAUCUAAGCACUGUACCACCAAUUACACCUAACAACCACUGUUUUAAGAAUGCACGUAGAUAUUAGGAUUCCAGCUUAAGCUUCGUUUUGCUCUGCACGAAAAGUGCACACAUUACAUCCCGCCACCCCAUGAUCACUGCACCGCCAGCCAACCAACCAAUCAACCAGCCAACAAAUCAUCAUCGACAGAUGUCAACGAGAAGCGAUUAAUUCAUCAUGAGAUCACCAGGCCCAUUUCGCUCGCCAUGCUGUUACUCUUCUACCAGUACCAGUCCAUUCAAUCGGAAUAACCCACCAAUCAGUAUUUCAACACUUGAACUUUCUGUUACAAUAUUUUUUUGUACCGUCCUACGAAGUCAGAAUACACAACAGCCAUCACGGAGACGAUAACGACGACGACAAUCUUCAACACCGGAAAUAGCAUGAAAAAGGACGACAAACAUGCCAAGGACAAACCGGACCGAAAGAUAAUCCGUCAUCCGACGGCACCAUCAUCAACUAAAACGAUUAUAAUUAAUCUGAUUGUAGCGUUUUUCUUGUAUCUGUUACGGCGGGUUAUAGAAGCUGGCGGGAAAAGUGCAAUUACGAAGUACAGUCGAUUUAUCAAAUAGGACGAAACAGCCAGGCUUAUUCAAUCUUCCUCUUUCUGCAAAUUCUCUUCUAACAUUAUGAUCAAAUGUAUGUAUAAUAUAAUGUUCUAAACUCCAAGUGUUUUGUU